rnacentral:rRNA from 1 species
CCUACGGGCGGCAGCAGUGAGGAAUAUUGGUCAAUGGCCGGAAGGCUGAACCAGCCAUGCCGCGUGCAGGUCAGUGCCCUUUGGGCGUUAAACUUCUUUUGUGCGGGAGCAAUAAUGGUCACGUGUGGCCAGACGAGAGUACCGUACGAAUAAGCAUCGGCUAACUCCGUGCCAGCAGCCGCGGUAAUACGGGGGAUGCAAGCGUGAUCCGGAUUUAUUGGGUUUAAAGGGUGCGUAGGCUGUGAGGUAAGUCAGCGGUGAAAUGCCCCCGCUCAACGGGGUGAAGUGCCAUUGAUACUGCCUUGCUGGAAUGCGGAUGCCGUGAGAGGAAUGUGUGGUGUAGCGGUGAAAUGCAUAGAUAUCACACAGAACACCGAUUGCGAAGGCAGCUCACGAAUCCGCGAUUGACGCUGAUGCACGAAAGCGUGGGUAUCAAACAGGAUUAGAUACCCCUGUAGUC